rnacentral:lncRNA from 1 species
AAUUGUUAAAAGAAAAAAGAAAAAGAAAAAAGAAAUAAUAAGUUAUUCAUUUAUAUGAAAUAAUGACUAAAACCGUAAUAUUUAUAAACUACAAGGAUAUAACAUAUUAAAUUGUAAAUUUAGGAACCAAAACUAUAAAUCAAAUCAAAAUACAAGUACCAUUUCUGUAAUUUACUUAAAAAAGAACAUGAAAAUGAUUUUGAAAAGUAGACACGGUAAGAAUCAUUACAUUUAUAAUAUUACUUUAAUUGAAUUUACUGGCAGUGGUUUUGUGUAGGUGGUUUUGACUUUUUAUCGGNNNNNNNNNNNNNNNNGAGCUGAUCCAGCCGCCCGUCUUUGUCUAAAACUACUACUUAACGAGAUGGUUUUUAAUUAUAUGUAUGUGUCAGUGUAUGUGAUUUAGUUGUGAUUAACAUUACAAUCAGGCAAUCUAGGAAUAUUAAUUAAACUAAAUAAUUAUGUAAUCUCAUUUUAAAGAAACUAACCAUAUAUUUUUUUUUUCAAAAUGGCUGUUUGUUAAAAAAAAAUCUCAUUAUUUCUAGUUGCACCCUACGGAACACGCAUAGCACUUGCACCCAGUUUUGUGUUCAAUUUAACGAAAUUUUUUUUUUGUGAAAAUGAAAACAAAAUAAAAGAAAAUUGUCUUCUUACGUUUCAUUAAAGGAAUGAAGUUAAGAGAAAUAAAAUGAUCAUUUUCUCUCCUAAUUUUCCUUCUGAUUUAAGAGGAUUUGAGAAACAAAUAAAAAUGAUUAAUUUAUUUUACACUUCUCUCCAACUCGGGAAUACAAAAGGAAAUUUUAUUUCUCAUUUCUUUCUAUUAUUUUCUCUCCUGACUUUCUUUUCUCUUUUUUUUUUCUUUUGUUAAACUCGAGAACUAGGCGUUGGUCUUUCAGGAACCAACGACCCGCCUCUCUCCCUUAAAUGUUUUCUUCCAUGUCCAUUCACGAAACGACAUCAAUCGAAUGGAUAAUGGAUACAAGAGCUACCCACCAUGUGCAUGUUAAUGAAGCUAUAUACUUGAAACUCUUAGACAUAAUAUCACUUAUCAUUCGACUUUAGUCAGUAACGGGUCCUCAAUUUCUGUAACAAAGAACAAACAAUUGAAUAUACUUUGUUCUUGCGUUCUCAACCUUUCAGGUGUUCUCAUUUGAUUCUUUCACUAUAUAUAUAUAUAUAUAUAUAUAUAUAUAUAUAUAUAGAGAGAGAGAGAGAGAGAGAGAGAGAGAGCGNCUAUUCUUAAUCUUCUUUCUCACUUUUAAAUGUGACCCUGUUAAGUUGAUCGGUCAUAUUAUAAUUACUAAGACGAGUUCGUUUUAAACUAUCACUAAAAUUAGAAAUAGAGUAUUUUAAAUCGUCUAGUUCAUAAUCAUAACGAGAGAAAGGAAUGUUAAGAGAUUUGAGUAUAGUAUGUACCUUAUCGACCACCUUCUCGCAUUCUUUAACUUGCUCUGAAAUAGACUUUGAAGCAAAAUAUCUUUCGGAUGCUUGACCACCAUCAAUAGCAUACCCUCUUUGUUCUGAAACUCUGUUCUAAACCAUUAAGCACUUGCCUUCGUAUCCAUGCACUUCUGACUUUUCCACAAAGAAUAUUCCAUGUAUGGGUUUCCUAACCUCAUCAUCUUCCGAUUCUAUAGACCACACCUCAACUCACCGUCAUCGCCACUGCCUUCCUGAACAAUCAACGCCGGCUUCGCAUUUGAUACAUUCUUUUUCCAAAGAUCCUCUAUCUUCUAUAAAUAAUAGGGUUCGUCCUUUUCAUUUUCACUCUUCUCAUUUUGCUUCCUCAACAUGCAAUCCUUUGCCUAGUGAUUCUUGCCAUGACAGUAUUUACAAUCAUAACCCGAAUCACCCAACAACUUCGUUUCUUUCUUUUCAUCAUCAUUCCUUGAGUUCUUGAAAAACUCAUCCCUAGGCUUCUCUGAACUUGAAUUACCUUUCCUGAACUUUUUUUUUGUAAUGGUAAAAGUUCUUCUUAUAUAACUUCUUGGACUUAGAUACCAAAAGUGACUUGUCUUCUUUUGAGAUUCAACUUUCUGAAAGGUCUGAUUUGGAAUCUUUUUCAACAGUCUUCUUUCCCUUCACAACCAGCGCUAAAGACCCCAUGAUAGAAACAAGCUUCACUACCAUUGUUACUUCAUCUUCGUGAGAUCUCAGAAUGCCCACAAGUUUAGCCAACGGAUAGUUCUUAAAAUGUGUGAGUGCCUUUACAAUAGAAACAACAAAUUAAAUCUACAAGAAAAUUUAAAAUACAUGACUCGCUGGUUUUUCACAUCCAACCAGGUUUGGAUGAUAGAUAGCUUCCAACAGAGUUGAUCAAACUAAAAGGAAAACUUGGUGCUCAUGCAUUUUAUAAUCCCAUUAAGUAGACAACAUUUCAACAAGUAUGACAUCCGUAAAAAUUGCUAAAAAAACAUGAUUUGAUUUCAAAAUUAUAUUAGAUAGAUAAAAUGCAAUGUCUUUCAUAAAAAAUAUAAUUGAAAGUCAAACAAAAUUCUAACUAGAAGUCUGAAAAAGUCAAUUUAAUUCACUAAUUCAGGCAUAUUAGUACGAUUACGAUUUACCACAGUCUUUUACCAAAUCAAACAAAAUUUCUUGAGUAAAUUAGUCCUUAUGGUUUGGGGUAAUUUGCAUGCUUGGUCCCUAACUUAUUUUUUUAACUCGGAAGGUCCCUAUGGUUUGUUUUUGUUAUGCGUUUGAUCCCUACUGUUUAUUUUUGUUACGCGUUUGGUCCCUGUCUUAUCUAAAAAGACUACUAUUUAAAGAGGAAAAAAUGAUGGGGUAGGUGAGGUAAGGUCAAGGGGUGGGAUUAGGGGUGUGCUUAUUUAAAUAAAUUAAAAAAAUCAAGGGCAUAAUAGUCUUUUUAGGUAAGAUAGGGACCAAGCGCGUAACAAAAGCAAACAGUAGGGACCUUCCGAGUUAAAAAAAUAAGUUAGGGACCAAACACGCAAAUUACCCUAAACCAUAGGGACCAUUUGUGUAAUUUACUCAAAUUUCUUUUUGAUUGUAAUGCCAAGCUCGAUUAUUUCAAUUGAAACUCAAACAUAAUGCCCUAGGAUCCUAAAGCAAUAACCAAAAGUCUUCCUUAUCAAUUAUAAGUGAAAGCAAAAUUUGUCCAUCGUGCCAAACAUAUCUUUUUAUCUGAUUACAAAUGAAAAAAAGAUUAAAGCUCUCAAAGUUAAAUCAAUUCUAUCAUGUAUUAUCAUCAUUUCUUAAAUCUUAAAAUGAUUCAAAUCCUCAAAUUUCAACGCAAAUUGAAGACAUACCUCAUAAGCGAAUCAUGGGACUAAGAAUUGGAUUAAUUUUUUGCACCUGAGAUGGCAGAUGAAGGAUUAAAUGAUUUCUAAUGAAAAAUCAAACGGAUUAUCAAACCAGAUUUGAUAACUCAUAAAUUGAGAUUUUUUCUUCUAACUUUAUUGAUACUUGAUAGCCAGUUACUUCAAUUUCCUUUGUACAAUUACCAUCCGUUGAGAAGCAAAAUCAAUAUAGGAAUUGGAUUUGAACCUAUAAGAAAACAUACCAAACUUUAUAUGAGAUACGUGGCCAUUUGCAGACCACACUUCCUAUAUGAGUUCAGCCACUUUAUAUGAGAUACGUGGCCAUUUGCAAACCCAACUUUCAAUUGUUUGUUUAUUAUUUAUUAAUAUUUUAUUUAGAAUAAGAAAACAUACCAAACUUUUAAUUGUUUGUUUAAAUAAGUAUUAAAUAAAUAAUCAUAUAUAACCUAUAAAAUAAAUUGUAUUAACUCAUUAAUAGAUGUUUGU